CAGUAGCCGCGGGAAUACGUAGGGUGCAAGCGUUAAUCGGAAUUACUGGGCGCAAAGCGUGCGCAGGCGGUUCGUUAAGACAGAUGUGAAAUCCCCGGGCUUAACCUGGGAACUGCAUUUGCGACUGGCGGGCUAGAGUAUGGCAGAGGGGGGUAGAAUUCCACGUGUAGCAGUGAAAUGCGUAGAGAUGUGGAGGAAUACCGAUGGCGAAGGCAGCCCCCUGGGCCAAUACUGACGCCCAUGCACGAAAGCGUGGGGAGCAAACAGGAUUAGAGACCCCAGUAGUCCCUGUCUCUUAUAC
rnacentral:rRNA from 1 species